CUUUUGUUUAAAGAAGAUAACCAAUGAAUGUAUGCCACGUGUUCGCCUCUCUCAUUCCCUCAUAAACUCUCUCCAUAGAAACGUUUCUCUAGUUUUUCUUUCAGUUUGAUUAAAUUUUAAUCAAAAUAAUCGAAAUUUGAA
rnacentral:sRNA from 1 species